rnacentral:rRNA from 1 species
ACUCAAAGGAAUUGACGGGGACCCGCACAAGCAGUGGAGUAUGUGGUUUAAUUCGAAGCAACGCGAAGAACCUUACCAGGUCUUGACAUCCUCAGAAUACGGAUGAAAGUCUGUAGUGCCUUUCGGGGAAUUGAGAGACAGGUGGUGCAUGGUUGUCGUCAGCUCGUGUCGUGAGAUGUUGGGUUAAGUCCCGCAACGAGCGCAACCCUUGCCUUCAGUUACUACGCAAGAGGACUCUGGAGGGACUGCCGUUGACAAAACGGAGGAAGGUGGGGACGACGUCAAAUCAUCAUGCCCUUUAUGAUCUGGGCUACACACGUACUACAAUGGCCGGUACAGCAAGCAGCGAAGCAGUGAUGCGGAGCAAAACUCAAAAACCGGUCCCAGUUCGGAUUGCAGGCUGCAACUCGCCUGCAUGAAGUCGGAAUUGCUAGUAAUCGCGGAUCAUCAUGCCGCGGUGAAUACGUUCCCGGGUCUUGUACACACCGCCCGU